GGAUUAGAUACCCUGGUAGUCCACGCCGUAAACGAUGUCAACUAGCCGUCGGAUUCAUUUAGGAAUUUGGUGGCGCAGCUAACGCGAUAAGUUGACCGCCUGGGGAGUACGGCCGCAAGGUUAAAACUCAAAGGAAUUGACGGGGGCCCGCACAAGCGGUGGAGCAUGUGGUUUAAUUCGAUGCAACGCGAAGAACCUUACCAGCCCUUGACAUCCUCGGAACUUUCUAGAGAUAGAUUGGUGCCUUCGGGAACCGAGUGACAGGUGCUGCAUGGCUGUCGUCAGCUCGUGCCG
rnacentral:rRNA from 1 species